AGCAUCCAAACCAGAAGAAACUGAGCUGCAGCUCCAGGCACCACCAGUUUAUGCGGAUUGUGUGAGGAGUCGCCAUGACGAUGAGCAUAUCCACUACGCAUCUCUGGGGAAACAGAACUGGAGGAGCCGAGGCUGGAAUCAGCAAAGCAGACAGCAGGUCAUCUACUCAACCCUGCAGCUGAACCCGAGACACACAGCAUACACACCCACACACCAACACACACUGUACACACCAGGAAUCUAGAGUGGGAGUCCUCAUAACUGCUGCAGUUAGUUAGCUGCUGUUAGUUAGGCAUAACAUUAUGACCACCUUCCUAAU